rnacentral:tRNA from 1 species
GCGCCGGUGGUGUAAUGGCGUAGAGCAUUCCUGCCCGGUCGGCAGGUGGUGCGAGUUCGAGUCCCGUCUGACGCC